UUGACAGCCUUAGAGACUGAACCCUUCUAUUUAUCCACAGAACAGGUACAGCACAGACAGCAGCACUGCGAGCUUCCCCACAGUGUCUCGUCAAUAUGUCUCAACCCUGUUCUGGAGGAACCACCUAUUGAGGUGAGAGGGUAGUUCAGUCUCUUCAUGUCCUGUCAAUCCUUGGCCUAA
ensembl:misc_RNA